AUGAAAGGCACCUUCGGAUAUCUAGAUCCUGAGUACUUCCGGCGGCAGAGACUCACCAACAAAUCAGAUGUGUACUCCUUUGGGGUUGUUUUGUUUGAGGUUCUGUGUGCACGUCCAGUAAUAGAUCCUGACCUUCCCGAGGAGCAAGUGGGCUUGCGUGAGUGGGCGCUGUCUUGCCAGAGAAAAGGUGUGCUCACUGAGAUCAUCGACCCCUAUCUUAUGGGCAAGAUCACCCCCCAGUGCUUCAGAAAAUUUGCAGAGACUGCAGAGCAAUGUGUUGCUGAACGUAGCAUUGAUAGGCCAUCUAUGGGUCAUGUUCUGUGGAGCCUCCAGAUCGCACUACAGCUGCAGGAGGACUGCAAUAUCUCUGAGGAGCCACCAUUGUUGAACAUGUCAUCACUCAUGGCCCCCAGGGUGCGACCAUCUUCAGGUUCAGCAAUGAGCAUCUCAGGACAGAAAGCUGUAUUCUCAGAGAUCAUGCAUCCAGAUGUCCGAUAA
rnacentral:rRNA from 1 species